GACGAACGCUGGCGGCGGGCUUAACACAUGCGAGUCGAGCGGGAAGGCCCUGUUUGUUUGGGGUACUCGAGUGGCGAACGGGUGAGGAACACGUAAGUAACCUGCCCUUGACUGUGGGAUAACUUCAGGUAAGUGGGACUCAUACCGGAUUGUAGCUCCGGCUUCGUUUUGGUGUUUGAAAAGUGGCGGAGGUUGGGGAUGAGCUCGUCGCUUAUCUGCUUGUUGGUGUGGUAGUGGCUUACCAAGGCUUUGACGGGGAGCCGGCCUGAGAGGGUGACCGGGAACAUUGCCACUGAGCUACGGCCGAGAGUCGUAAGGGAGGCAGCAGUGGGGAAGAUUGCACAAUGGGCGGAAGCCGGAUGCAGGAAGGCGGUGUGCGGGAUGAUGGCCUUCGUGUGGAAAACCGCUUUCGCCUGUGCCGAAGCGUGAGUGACGGUAAUGGGUAAAGAAGCACCGGCUAACUACGUG
rnacentral:rRNA from 1 species